rnacentral:rRNA from 1 species
GGUGCUAACGUCCGUCGUGAAGAGGGAAACAACCCAGACCGCCAGCUAAGGUCCCAAAGUCAUGGUUAAGUGGGAAACGAUGUGGGAAGGCCCAGACAGCCAGGAUGUUGGCUUAGAAGCAGCCAUCAUUUAAAGAAAGCGUAAUAGCUCACUGGUCGAGUCGGCCUGCGCGGAAGAUGUAACGGGGCUAAACCAUGCACCGAAGCUGCGGCAGCGACACUGUGUGUUGUUGGGUAGGGGAGCGUUCUGUAAGCCUGUGAAGGUGUGUCGUGAGGCAUGCUGGAGGUAUCAGAAGUGCGAAUGCUGACAUAAGUAACGAUAAAGCGGGUGAAAAGCCCGCUCGCCGGAAGACCAAGGGUUCCUGUCCAACGUUAAUCGGGGCAGGGUGAGUCGACCCCUAAGGCGAGGCCGAAAGGCGUAGUCGAUGGGAAACGGGUUAAUAUUCCCGUACUUGGUGUUACUGCGAAGGGGGGACGGAGAAGGCUAUGUUGGCCGGGCGACGGUUGUCCCGGUUUAAGCGUGUAGGUGUGUGUUCCAGGUAAAUCCGGUUCACUUUAACACUGAGGCGUGACGACGAGGCACUACGGUGCUGAAGCAACAAAUGCCCUGCUUCCAGGAAAAGCCUCUAAGCAUCAGGUAACAUCAAAUCGUACCCCAAACCGACACAGGUGGUCAGGUAGAGAAUACCAAGGCGCUUGAGAGAACUCGGGUGAAGGAACUAGGCAAAAUGGUGCCGUAACUUCGGGAGAAGGCACGCUGACACGUAGGUGAAGUGAUUUACUCAUGGAGCUGAAGUCAGUCGAAGAUACCAGCUGGCUGCAACUGUUUAUUAAAAACACAGCACUGUGCAAACACGAAAGUGGACGUAUACGGUGUGACGCCUGCCCGGUGCCGGAAGGUUAAUUGAUGGGGUCAGCGCAAGCGAAGCUCCUGAUCGAAGCCCCGGUAAACGGCGGCCGUAACUAUAACGGUCCUAAGGUAGCGAAAUUCCUUGUCGGGUAAGUUCCGACCUGCACGAAUGGCGUAAUGAUGGCCAGGCUGUCUCCACCCGAGACUCAGUGAAAUUGAACUCGCUGUGAAGAUGCAGUGUACCCGCGGCAAGACGGAAAGACCCCGUGAACCUUUACUAUAGCUUGACACUGAACAUUGAGCCUUGAUGUGUAGGAUAGGUGGGAGGCUUUGAAGCGUGGACGCCAGUCUGCGUGGAGCCGACCUUGAAAUACCACCCUUUAAUGUUUGAUGUUCUAACGUGGACCCGUGAUCCGGGUUGCGGACAGUGUCUGGUGGGUAGUUUGACUGGGGCGGUCUCCUCCUAAAGAGUAACGGAGGAGCACGAAGGUUGGCUAAUCCUGGUCGGACAUCAGGAGGUUAGUGCAAUGGCAUAAGCCAGCUUGACUGCGAGCGUGACGGCGCGAGCAGGUGCGAAAGCAGGUCAUAGUGAUCCGGUGGUUCUGAAUGGAAGGGCCAUCGCUCAACGGAUAAAAGGUACUCCGGGGAUAACAGGCUGAUACCGCCCAAGAGUUCAUAUCGACGGCGGUGUUUGGCACCUCGAUGUCGGCUCAUCACAUCCUGGGGCUGAAGUAGGUCCCAAGGGUAUGGCUGUUCGCCAUUUAAAGUGGUACGCGAGCUGGGUUUAGAACGUCGUGAGACAGUUCGGUCCCUAUCUGCCGUGGGCGCUGGAGAACUGAGGGGGGCUGCUCCUAGUACGAGAGGACCGGAGUGGACGCAUCACUGGUGUUCGGGUUGUCAUGCCAAUGGCACUGCCCGGUAGCUAAAUGCGGAAGAGAUAAGUGCUGAAAGCAUCUAAGCACGAAACUUGCCCCGAGAUGAGUUCUCCCUGAGACUUUAGGUCUCCUGAAGGAACG